AUUUUCAAAUUAAUAAUAUGGAGAAAAAUCUUUUGUAUAAUUCAGUGUGAUAUACAGAUGUAUGAAAAUCUUCUUUCUCAGACCUUGGACAGCUGCUUUCAUUCAUAGUAACUAAUACUGGAAUGACUUGUUAAAGGCAGAAUCAUAUCCUGUUAAAGAAUUCUCCUGAUACCAUCUAACUAAUUAUUCUUUAUGUUAAAGGGUUUGCUGCUGGCCUCUUCCACCCACCCUACAGGAUGGUAUGAGAUUUGAAAGAAGACGAUGCAUACAGGGGAAGUCAUUUCCCUUUGUUCAGCUUUGCUGCUAUACCACUGGUUGAGGGGAGGAAAAGAAGAUUGUGGCAGCAAUACCAAUUGAAGGCAGUAACUGCUUCAUCACUCUUGUAGAGAGUAAGAAAGGAUGAUCUUGGAGGAGGAGGAGAGACUUCAGCAUGCAAACCUUCAACUGUUCGGCUUGCACCAUCAUUUUCAUUCCAUGCUGCUGGCCUUCAGAUGG